GAUGAACGCUAGCGGCAGGCCUAACACAUGCAAGUCGAGGGGCAGCACAGAAACAGCAAUGUUUUGGUGGCGACCGGCGGACGGGUGCGUAACGCGUAUGCAACCUACCUUUAACAGGGGGAAAAGGCAAGAAAUUUUCCAUAAUUACCCAUAAACACCAUCAAAGCCUCUUUAAUGGGCAAAAACCUCCGGGGUUAAAGAUUGGGCUUGCGUUGUAUUAGGUAGUUGGUGAGGUAAUGGCUCACCAAGCCUACGAUACAUAGGGGGACUGAGAGGUUAGCCCCCCACACUGGUACUGAGACACGGACCAGACUCCUACGAGAGGCAGCAGUGAGGAAUAUUGGUCAAUGGGGGCAACCCUGAACCAGCCAUGCCGCGUGCAGGAAGACGGCUCUAUGAGUUGUAAACUGCUUUUAAACAGGGAUAAAGCACAGUAUGUAUACUGUGUUGAAGGUACUGUAAGAAUAAGGAUCGGCUAACUCCGUGCCAGCCGCCGCAGUAA
rnacentral:rRNA from 1 species